rnacentral:rRNA from 1 species
CUUGGUCAUUUAGAGGAAGUAAAAGUCGUAACAAGGUUUCCGUAGGUGAACCUGCGGAAGGAUCAUUAACGAAAUCGGACUUCGGUCUGGUGACGUCUCUCUUGCUGUGCGCCUUUUGGCUGCACGCUUGGGAAUCCCACACACCUGUGCACACUCGGUUGGCGGGCUUCGGGCCCGCCUCUUCGCCUACACUUACUUUGUAUGUCUCGAAUGUUUAUUAUCUUAUGAUAAAAAAAUACAACUUUCAGCAACGGAUCUCUUGGCUCUCGCAUCGAUGAAGAACGCAGCGAAAUGCGAUACGUAAUGUGAAUUGCAGAAUUCAGUGAAUCAUCGAAUCUUUGAACGCACCUUGCACCCCGUGGUUCUCCACGGGGUACGCCCGUUCGAGUGUCACGUAAACCAUCGCCUAAGCAAAGCUAGCUUUGCUCUGGCGGAUCUGGACGCCUGCCGUCGUUGGCUCGUCCGAAAUGCAUUAGCGAGGGUGGUCUCUCUAAACCGCUUGGCGUGAUAUUUCCUUCUCGCCUGUUGGUUCGGUCUAGGAGACGGCUCUGCUCCGAAUCCCGUCGCGUCGACGGAACAUUACAAAGUUUGACCUCGAAUCGGGUGGGACUACCCGCUGAACUUAAGCAUAUCAAUAAGCGGAGGA